GAUGAACGCUGGCGGCGUGCUUAACACAUGCAAGUCGAACGAUGAAGCCCAGCUUGCUGGGUGGAUUAGUGGCGAACGGGUGAGUAACACGUGAGUAACCUGCCCUUAACCCUGGGAUAAGCCUGGGAAACUGGGUCUAAUACCGGAUAGUAGCGUCCACCGCAGGGUGGGUGUUGGAAAGAUUUAUCGGUUUUGGAUGGACUCGCGGCCUAUCAGCUUGUUGGUGAGGUAAUGGCUCACCAAGGCGACGACGGGUAGCCGGCCUGAGAGGGUGACCGGCCACACUGGGACUGAGACACGGCCCAGACUCCUACGGGAGGCGGCAGUGGGGAAUAUUGCACAAUGGGCGCAAGCCUGAUGCAGCGACGCCGCGUGAGGGAUGACGGCCUUCGGGUUGUAAACCUCUUUCAGUAGGGGAGAAGCGAAAGUGACGGUACCUGCAGAAGAAGCACCGGCUAACUACGUG
rnacentral:rRNA from 1 species